GCACCUAUAGCUCAGGGGUAGAGCGUGUGUUUAGUAAGCACAAGGUCGAGAGUUCAAUUCUCUCUAGGUGCA
rnacentral:tRNA from 1 species